rnacentral:lncRNA from 1 species
UGUAUGAGAAGCUUUAUUAUUCUAACAGAUUUUGUUUACAAGCAGAAAAUAUUGGUAAAUCUCAUAUAACAUAAGGAUGUAUCAAUAGUUCCAUAUGCUAUGCUUUAAUAGAGUUCUGUAAGGUUUCUAAAGAUGACUUAAGUCAGCGUCACUGAAAAUAAAGAGUCAGAAAUAACCUAAAAAUUGAGUGAUUCCAUAGAACAAAUAUAUUCAUUUUACAGAUGGGGAACUGCGACAUGAAGAAGUUAACUUACCUAAGAUCAGAGAAUGAGUCAAGGACAGAACAGGACCAUGUCAUCAAAUUUAGAGAAACUUGAACUAUACACUACUUUGGAGAAAGCUGACCUAAGAUGCAGAAUUAGAGGUGCUCCAAAGGCCCAGAAUAUCCAUUGCCACCUAUUGAUGCAGCACAAGGGGCAGAGGUUCAAGAGGAAUGUGGGAACUGGAAAUGCCAGGGAAGACCAAAGUUGUCACAUCGGAUGAAGCCAGCAUGCCUGUCUUUAACUUCUAAUUCCUGUGGGAUGCCUGGGUGGAAAGGAAUCAAGAAGCUCAGUCCCCAAGCUGCUUAUGGAAUGUUGUAGAAAGCAGGUGUGGAAUUUUGUUCUUGUAAUUACUUUCCCUGCAAAUUCUUGUACCACUGUGUAAUCUGGUCUGGGGUUUGCCACUAACCCACUUUAUGACCUUGUGCCAGUUGUUACUCCUCUCUGUGCCUGUAUUCUCAUCUGUGCAAUAUAGGGACAUAAAUUUAUCCUUUUAGUGUUUUGCAUUUUUAUGUAAACUAUGCUUUGUUCUCAACUGAUAUCUUAUUAAAUACUCACUGAAAAUCCUGAAAAGUGGAUCCUGUACUUGUCAUUUUAUAGAUGAGAAAACUGUGAUUCAGAGAGACAAACUGAUUUGAGUCAAUGUCACAUGGCUAAUAAGAGAAGGAACAAGUUUCUAAAUCUGUGAGAUUCCAGAUGCAUCAUUCUACUCUUGUGAAAUACCCACAUUCACACUUGAGCUGUAUGUAUUUUUGUUUAUAAUGGAAAGAAUAUGAGGUUAGAAAUCUUGCUCCUGGAUUCAAAUUUAAACUCAUUUACCUGUACUGUUCUCCCAUCAUGGACAAAACUUUCUAAAUUUUUUGGCCUCUGCUUUCUUAAUUGUGCUAGAGAGAAUAAUAUCCCCUACUUGUAUCUAUGCUCUAAUACCUAUAUCUUGUGCAUAUAUUACCUUAAAUUGAAAAAAAGACUUGACCUAUGUGAUUAAGAUUGAAGACUUUGAGAUGGAGUGAUUAUCCUGGCUUAUCUGGAUGGGCCCAGUCUAAUCACAUGAAUUUCUAAAAGUAAACAAGGAAGGCAGAAGAGUGGGUCAGAGAAACAGAAGGACAGAAGGAGAGUCAGGAGAGAUGGCAGUGUGAAAAGGCUUGACACCUUGUUGCUGAUUCUGAC